UCGGGAAUAUUGCGCAAUGGAGGAAACUCUGACGCAGUGACGCCGCGUAUAGGAAGAAGGUUUUCGGAUUGUAAACUAUUGUCGUGAGGGAAGAAAUUGACAGUACCUCAGGAGGAAGCUCCGGCUAACUAUGUGCCAGCAGCCGCGGUAAUACAUAGGGAGCAAGCGUUAUCCGGAUUUAUUGGGUGUAAAGGGUGCGUAGACGGGAAAUUAAGUUAGUUGUGAAAUCCCUCGGCUUAACUGAGGAACUGCAACUAAAACUGGUUUUCUUGAGUACUGGAGAGGAAAGUGGAAUUCCUAGUG
rnacentral:rRNA from 1 species